UACGAGGGGGGCGAGCGUUUGUUCGGAAUUAUUGGGCGUAAAGGGUGCGUAGGCGGUUCCGCAAGUCCUGUGUGAAAUCUUCGGGCUCAACUCGAAGUCUGCACGGGAAACUGCGGGGCUUGAGUGUGGGAGAGGUGAGUGGAAUUCCCGGUGUAGCGGUGAAAUGCGUAGAUAGUCGGGAGGAACACCUGUGGCGAAAGCGGCUCACUGGACCAUAACUGACGCUGAUGCGCGAAAGCGUGGGGAGCAAACAGG
rnacentral:rRNA from 1 species